rnacentral:rRNA from 1 species
GGGAUAAGCGUUGGAAACGACGUCUAAUACUGGAUAUGAUCACUGGCCGCAUGGUCUGGUGGUGGAAAGAUUUUUUGGUUGGGGAUGGACUCGCGGCCUAUCAGCUUGUUGGUGAGGUAAUGGCUCACCAAGGCGACGACGGGUAGCCGGCCUGAGAGGGUGACCGGCCACACUGGGACUGAGACACGGCCCAGACUCCUACGGGAGGCAGCAGUGGGGAAUAUUGCACAAUGGGCGAAAGCCUGAUGCAGCAACGCCGCGUGAGGGAUGACGGCCUUCGGGUUGUAAACCUCUUUUAGUAGGGAAGAAGCGAAAGUGACGGUACCUGCAGAAAAAGCACCGGCUAACUACGUGCCAGCAGCCGCGGUAAUACGUAGGGUGCAAGCGUUGUCCGGAAUUAUUGGGCGUAAAGAGCUCGUAGGCGGUUUGUCGCGUCUGCUGUGAAAUCCCGAGGCUCAACCUCGGGCUUGCAGUGGGUACGGGCAGACUAGAGUGCGGUAGGGGAGAUUGGAAUUCCUGGUGUAGCGGUGGAAUGCGCAGAUAUCAGGAGGAACACCGAUGGCGAAGGCAGAUCUCUGGGCCGUAACUGACGCUGAGGAGCGAAAGCAUGGGGAGCGAACAGGAUUAGAUACCCUGGUAGUCCAUGCCGUAAACGUUGGGCGCUAGAUGUAGNGACCUUUCCACGGUUUCUGUGUCGUAGCUAACGCAUUAAGCGCCCCGCCUGGGGAGUACGGCCGCAAGGCUAAAACUCAAAGGAAUUGACGGGGGCCCGCACAAGCGGCGGAGCAUGCGGAUUAAUUCGAUGCAACGCGAAGAACCUUACCAAGGCUUGACAUACACCGGAAACGGCCAGAGAUGGUCGCCCCCUUGUGGUCGGUGUACAGGUGGUGCAUGGUUGUCGUCAGCUCGUGUCGUGAGAUGUUGGGUUAAGUCCCGCAACGAGCGCAACCCUCGUUCUAUGUUGCCAGCGGGUUAUGCCGGGGACUCAUAGGAGACUGCCGGGGUCAACUCGGAGGAAGGUGGGGAUGACGUCAAAUCAUCAUGCCCCUUAUGUCUUGGGCUUCACGCAUGCUACAAUGGCCGGUACAAAGGGCUGCGAUACCGUAAGGUGGAGCGAAUCCCAAAAAGCCGGUCUCAGUUCGGAUUGAGGUCUGCAACUCGACCUCAUGAAGUCGGAGUCGCUAGUAAUCGCAGAUCAGCAACGCUGCGGUGAAUACGUUCCCGGGCCUUGUACACACCGCCCGUCAAGUCAUGAAAGUCGGUAACACCCGAAGCCGGUGGCCUAACCCUUGUGGAAGGAGCCGUCGAAGGUGGGAUCGGUGAUAGGACU